ensembl:lncRNA LOC102552779 uncharacterized LOC102552779
CACAGAAUGUACUGACUGGUAGUCACCUGACCCUCUGGUCCCAGAUAGAGUUGAAGUGCGUGUCACAUGCUUGCUAGCUAAUAGAUUCAAAGGUCAAUAUGCUUAGCCAAUAAGUCUAAACUGUAACCUUACUGAUAUAACCUGUACCCCUAAAAAGUAUAAAAACUGCUUGUUAUAGCCAUUUUGGGUUGUCUUCCUAGAAAACCACUUUCCAUGAGAGGUUGAUUGAGGGUAGACCCUGACGUGCUGGAAAAAUUAACCUCUUGUGUUUGCAUUGGACUCCGUUCUCAUGUCUCCCUGUGGGUGUAGGGGGGUUGUCUCUCAGUAGAUAAGACUCACUUCAAGCCUUACAUUUGGUGCAUUGACUGGAAAGCCAGAUUCCUCCUAUGAGGUUCGGUGGUCACAGGAACAGCUGGAGCUUUAUGUCAGGUAUCUUCAGCACCCGUCCUGGACAAAUGACACCAACGUGGGGCAUAAGAGGAGUUUCAAGGUGAGGAGCCCGGCCGGGGCUGAUGCUUUAACAGCAAAAAGAUAGUGGAGAGUUAGUGGUUGUUUUAAAGACUAUUAUGAGACUUUUGGCCCUGAAAAAAAAAUUCCAGUUGCUGCCUUCAGUGGCCAGACCUUCAACACUUGCUCACAAAAGGAGAGCGUUCAUUAAGAGAAGUUCUUUAAGGGAGCCUGUCUUAUCUGCUGGCCCUAUUCCGAGAGAGGAGUCGGUCUCCAGCAUUAAGUCACCUUCCCUGUUAUUCAUCAUUGACCUAGAGAGUGCCUCUGAAUCUAUCCCCGCAGUAGUCAGUUCCUGCCCCCUGUGUUCAAAAUGCCCCAGGUUGGGGAGCAGGGGAGCCCCUAAAGUAGUUUCAGAGAGAGUCUGCAGCAGACUGUGAGGAACUUGUUUUGCCAGACAGAACUCCAGGAUGAUAAGAGGAGAAAGUCUUGGCAUUGGCUCUUCAGCUUACUCCAACUGGAGGCUGUGACCAAGGUCAGGAUCAAUGUUUUCUUUUCCAUGGACCUCUAACCCAGUGAGACAGCUUGGUGAAGGACUGCUACUGCAGUCCUGGGAGGCUGUAGUUCUAUUAAAGGUCAGUACUCCAGUGUUAGCAAACUCUUUAUUGGAUGUAAGAGGCAGGAAGCCCCGCUUAGCUGUGACUCCUGCCUCAGGAAUGGCGGCAGAAAGAGUCCUUAUAACCAGUUAUCUCUAAUUAUAGCUUACUGUCUGAUAACGAGGCUUCAAUCAGAUCACAGCCCCCUGGGCAAGCCCCCCUUCAAUACUCAGAUGCUAUUUUCUCCUGGUCUCUUGGCUCAAGGUUGCCAGGCAUGUCUGACAGCCUGGAAGAAACUUCCCCCCUAAAGCAGACAAGUCAUACAAUUCUUUUGUCUGUUAUUUGGCACCUAGCACCCAGGUCUAACCAUCUCUCCAUCCUUUUGUUAUUAGUUCUUACUGGUAGCCUAGUGUCCUUCAGAAGCUGGGUCUCUUGAGAGGCAGAGCCACCAAGCUGACACUGAAGGGAGUUACUCCUUAAGGGAAAAUCUAAGUCCAGAGAGACAGCCAGUAACAGGCAGGCUGCCCCUCUGCUUGCCUUUCUGUUUCACAGAUACCACAUGGAAAUUUGCUCAACCAUGUUCAUAGCAGCUUUAUUUGUAAUAGCUAGAAACUGGAAACAACAGAAGAAUGGAUAAAGAAAAUAUUGCAAUAUGCAAUAGAAAAGAUCCUGAGGGAGGUAACCCAGACGCAGAAAGACAAACAUGGUGUGUGCUCACUUAUCAGUGGACGUUGGUCACAAAGUACAGGUUAACCAUGCUACAAUCCACAGUCCCAAAGAGGCCAAGUGACAGGAGGGCCCAGCAGGGGACAUGUGAAUCUCACUGAAAAGGGGAUUAGAAUAGACAUCACAGCUGGACAGGGUGA